rnacentral:rRNA from 1 species
GUGUAUACGAUACAGUGCAUCUAGGGCUGUCACUGACUUUUUGUCGUGCACGCCCAAAAGUGGCUCUCAUUCAUCCAUCCCCCCCCUAUGUGCACCACCGCGGGGGUCCCCCUUUGGUUGGUCCUCAGGGGGGCUGGCGUUUUCUUACAACCUCGAUACAGGGAAAAAGGUCUUUAUUUUGCGGUAACACCCAUUCAAAACAACUUUCAACAACGGAUCUCUUGGCUCUCGCAUCAAUGAAAAACGCAGCGAAUGGCAAAACGUAUGGUGAAUUGCAAAAUUCAGGGAAUCUUCAAAUCUUUGAACGCACCUGGCGCCCCUUGGCUUUCCGAGGGGCACACCCGUUUGAUGGUCGGGAAAUUCUCAAAACCCUUCCUUUUUAGGGAUUUUGGACUUGGAGGCUUUUUUGGUGGCUUCACUUUGAAGCGAUCCCCUCUUAUGUGGAUUAGUGGGGUCUGCUUUGCCGAUCCUUGACGAGAUAAGAUGCUUCCACCUCUCGGGUUUGGCAUCGUGCAUCUGCUUCAAACCGUCUCCUCGACAAUGGUGGCUCUCCGGUCACCACCGUUUCAUCGGUGGGAGGCUUGACCCACAAAAAAACCCUUGACCUCAAAUCGGGUGAGACUACCCGCUGAACUUACGCAUAUCUAUAAGCGGAAGAA